CCCAAAGCUUAGCCUAACUGUUGUUUUUAAUUGCACGUGUUAAAUGAAUGUCGAUUCCGAUCACCCAUCAUUUAUACAGAUUGUUUUAGUUUGUUUCUUGUGGUAGUGAUGACGACGAGAUAUAUGCAAAGAGGAAACCACAAGGCCAUCAUCAGAUGCACUUCAUAAUUCUUCAGACUCCUGGACGACAUCAGAUGUAGACAUGGCACUGUCUGGAAUGAUAACAUUUGGGUUGUGUGUAGUCUUAAUUGAUUGUUUAAAUGGACAAAUUACGCACCCUGAUCCUGUGGUAUUUAAGGCAAGUGGUAGAGCAGCUCGAGUCCAAUGCAAAGUGGAUUCAUCGACACUUCGGUCCAGCGUUAUCCACUGGUACAGAGCUCCACCGAAGGGAGCUCUCCAACGUUUAAUGUAUUUCGAAGCUGGUUCGCCAAAGGCCACAAAAGACCCCGAUACCCCCCGUAGAUUUUCUGGAUCGGUGAGCGGCGAUGUAGUGGCACUGACUAUCUCAAAGCUGGAGCCCAGUGAUGAGGGAUCGUAUUACUGCGCGCUCUGGAGUGGAGACAACACAGUGCUAACUAUGAGAGGAAAUCAUUACAAAAACCUGCUUUCAUCAUCAAAGCGCUUUUAUUUUGAACAGCAGCAAGGAGGAGACAUUAGACAUAUUUUUACUGUGAUGUUGCUCUUUCUUGUCAAGAUUUAAUUAAAGAAUAAGGUUAAAUGUUCCAAAAGUGUAUUGUCUCAGAAGAAAGAACCACAAAGUUCCACAAUGUUUGCUAGAUAGGCUACUGUACCAUAUUGACUGUUAAC